UGGCUGAAAGUUUGGGAAAAAAAUCAUCUAGUCCCUGUGAUCGCCGCGACACAGGGUUAUCGAUGGUUAUCGACAACCGAUUACGAGGCAUGGGAUAUAUUUACGAUCGAAAGACAAUCGAUUUGAAUCGAAAAAAAAGAGGAGCGCGCCCGUUCUUUAUCUUCUUCUCGGCGCCGCGCGGGCUGACCGCUUUGGUCACAAUUCGAUCGCAGAAAGUGGCUAGUUGCAUCGAAUUAAAAAAAAGGCCACUGCACUCUGCGGAUCUGCGACGCCACGAUUCACGAAACACGAAGCACCGGCUUCGUCGCGGCAUUUCCCCGGUAACCGCGUCGCCUCCGACGAGCGUAGGGCGACGUCGAGAGCAGACGUGGGAAACAGGGCGCGAAUCCCUACUCUCCGACCACGACGGGGAAACGUCGAACAAAGCGUGAUCGGGGAGGCAAAAGUUUGCGACGAGGGAGUCAUCGAGAAAGGCAAAAGGCGCGCAGAAGAGUAGACUUCUCUAAGGUCUUCAAACCAGUGGAUCUUGUUAGGGAUAGGCAAGAGUACCCGCAGUGUUAUUUGGAACGAGAAGCGACGAAAGUACACCACUCGCAAACAGUUUUAGAAGGAUGGCGCGUCUACACGCCGUCACGAUCGCUGCAGCGACCAUCCUCGUCGCCCUUGUUUCCACCUCGCAGGCCUCGAGUUUCAAGGUGACUGACAAGGUGUACCUCGAUAUAAUGAUCGACGAUCAUCCAGCCGGACGCAUAGUGAUCGGUUUGUUCGGUGAAGUAGCUCCAAGGACCGUAAAGAACUUCCUCACCAUAGCGUCGGAAGGAAUAAACGGGCGAAAAUAUUCUGGCUCGAAGUUUCAUCGAGUGAUAAAGAAGUUUAUGAUCCAAGGUGGGGAUGUGGACAAGGAGGAUGGAACGGGAUCCAUAAGUAUCUACGGUAAAUACUUCGACGACGAAAACUUUGAUAUCAAACAUACCGGCCCAGGUUUCGUGAGUAUGGCUAAUGCAGGAAAAAAUACAAACGGGUGUCAGUUCUUUAUAUCCACGGUCGCCACACCUUGGCUCGAUGGUCACCAUACUAUAUUUGGCAAGGUAAUCGAGGGACAGGACGUGGUUCACAAGAUAGAACAAACUAAAACAGAUUCAGACGACAAGCCCAUCAGCCCUGUGGUGAUCCUCGAGUCUGGUACCAUCUCGGUGCCGGAGCCGUUCUUCAUAUCAGACGACCCAUACGACAUUUGGAGUUGGAUCAGAGCAACGGCAAUACCACUCAGCUUCAGCUUCACCAUUCUUGGAUUUUUCCACUGGAUGAUGAAGCAGCUGGACAUUUGAGCGGGUGGAGUAAGCGAGUACCGUGGGUAUCUUGCCCAGUCGGCAUCUCCUAAACGAGCGACUUUUUCACUCCAUCGGAUAUAGCCGGUCUAAUUACACGCAGUGCUAUGAAGCCAUGGAAAUAAUAGCUGCCAGCGCGCUUACUGCUGAGGAACUGCUUAUGAAAGUAAACGAAAAAUUGUCACAAAACCUGCUACA